AUAAACGGCCCAUGCUGCUGACCUGGUUAAUUGUUGUUCUCAUUUUCGCAGUUCUUGUGAUGAUUGUAAAGAUCUGGGAACUUGUGUUCGUGUGGAAGGAGUGGGGAAUAAUAUUGGGUAUAGUUUCAAUUGUGUUUUACAUCGCGUUAAUUUUUUGUUUUCUUUACUAUCCGUAUGUGUACCAAAGGAACCUGAAAAGUGAACAAAAUUACUAUUGACAGUAUUGAGUUCACUUUAGGCAUAUUAGUAAACUAUGUCUUCGUAGAAAGUAAAUAAAAAUUGUUAGAAGGAAUACACAGUUGUUGAUUAGGUUUUAAAAUUUACUUUUCAGAGAUCUUGCACGAAGUGUUUUUUAAGUUUGACUUUAUAAGGAUUCUUUUUUGUGUUGUAAUAGGGUAAUCACUUAAUAUAAAAAAAAAUAAAUAAACUAAUUAUGAGUUUACUGAUUGUUUCAAUAAAGUUUCCAAUAAUAAAAAAAAUACCUUUAAAAGUAUAUAGCCCUCUUCUAAAUCGGUCGGAAUUAUUAUUGGAAUGGUACUUUCAUUGGUAAAAUAAUUAAAAGAAUAAUAUUUAUUCAUAUUCUUAGGAAAAGAAAUCUUGGUUUAUAAUUUUAUAAUGGUAUCUUGAUAAUUUUUAUAAUGGUCACGUCUAUGAUCCUUCUCACAUAGGUUUGGACUAUUAAAGUCUAGAUAUCUAGUUGUCCCUUUAUUUACAGUCAGUCCCAAUUACUGAUUUAUUUUUUGGGACACAUUUGGUUUUUUUUUUUUUUAAAAAUGGGCUGUCCAGGUUGUAGUCUAAAAACUUCUUGCAUAUGGGUCGCAUGUGCUGCGGUUGCUUUGGGUUUUGUUACGUUGAUAAUCACUGGUAUUAAAAUGGAAACUAAUGGAUUAAACGAUAUUUCAAUUAUCAGAAUAGCUUUAAAUAUCUUAUUUAUAAUUGGAGCUUUGUGUCUCUUCGUCGGCACUAUAUCGGAGAAAAAAACUCUUGUGAAAAUAUGGAUCGCAAUUGCUAUAUUUUGCACAUUUAGUCUGUUGUUUUGUACUUUUAUUUAUUUAUUAACCAAUUGGAAGAAAUUAUCGGCGUGGCCAAGAAUACAUUCAUUUUUGUACGUUUUAUUGGUUUGCGUUGCACUUUUCUUCUGGACUUUCUUUCCACGGCGUUAUUACAGAGAAUUAGAUAAUCUCAGUGACUAGUAAGCAUUCCGGAUUUAAAUUCUUUAUCAAUAAAAUUGGGCUGGAAAUCGAUGUUAUCCUGCUUUGAAACAGCCAGGAUUUAAUGGAUAAAAUGGCUAUUGCGGAAUUAUUAUCUACCAGCUAUUGGCAUGAAAAUUUUGGCUCCCAUGCAUGGACUUUCGACUUAAUUAUUGUGUAGAUCCUAGUUCUCAUUGCUGCUUAGUGCUUGAUUUUUGGGCCAUGAUUGGCAAUUACAGCUUCGAUCUUUGGAGUACAUCUCGAUCCAGUAAAGAAGCUUCAUGAUGAUGAUCUGGACCACAAUGGCUCUCGUUUGCUGGGUAUUUAAAAAAUUGCAAUUAAUGUCAGCUUGUGGACGCUCAGGAGAUUUAUUCUCAAUGCUCCUUGGUUUUAUUAACUAUAUACAUGAGCUCAGGAGAGGCCUGGACUAGGCGCCCAUCUUUAAAAAGUUUUGACCGAAAUCGAAAUAAAUUUAAUGUUGGCGACUGCA